CUUUGCUGAACAGAAGGAGCCACUGUGCGUUCUUGUGAGCUGGAGCUCAGUGAAAUGACUCUGCAUUUCCUUGCCCCACCACACAAUGUAAGGCCAAGCUUUCAGGACAUGUUGAGACUUGACUGCUUGAACCCGUCAUGGAGACAGACAUGACAAUGAGGCCAAUGUUAGGAAUUUACUGUUCUCAAAAUACACCCACUGAGUAACACUGGAGAAGGGUUCAGAAGCGGAUGGAAUGCCAUCUUCAGCAAGUGUGAUGAAGACACAGUGGUGAAAGCAGUCCUGGCCUGACACUGAGUUCAGUGGUGGAUCAUCAUUAGUUAAAACUAGCAUUUACAGUGA